GCGGCGCGCCUAACACAUGCAAGUCGAACGAGAGAGAGGGAGCUUGCUUCCUCAAUCGAGUGGCGAACGGGUGAGUAACGCGUGAGGAACCUGCCUCAAAGAGGGGGACAACAGUUGGAAACGACUGCUAAUACCGCAUAAGCCCACGGGUCGGCAUCGACCAGAGGGAAAAGGAGCAAUCCGCUUUGAGAUGGCCUCGCGUCCGAUUAGCUAGUUGGUGAGGUAACGGCCCACCAAGGCGACGAUCGGUAGCCGGACUGAGAGGUUGAACGGCCACAUUGGGACUGAGACACGGCCCAGACUCCUACGGGAGGCAGCAGUGGGGAAUAUUGCACAAUGGGGGAAACCCUGAUGCAGCGACGCCGCGUGGAGGAAGAUGGUCUUCGGAUUGUAAACUCCUGUUGUUGAGGAAGAUAAUGACGGUACUCAACAAGGAAGUGACGGCUAACUACGUGCCAGCAGCCGCGGUAAAACGUAGGUCACAAGCGUUGUCCGGAAUUACUGGGUGUAAAGGGAGCGCAGGCGGGAAGACAAGUUGGAAGUGAAAUCUAUGGGCUCAACCCAUAAACUGCUUUCAAAACUGUUUUUCUUGAGUAGUGCAGAGGUAGGCGGAAUUCCCGGUGUAGCGGUGGAAUGCGUAGAUAUCGGGAGGAACACCAGUGGCGAAGGCGGCCUACUGGGCACCAACUGACGCUGAGGCUCGAAAGUGUGGGUAGCAAACAGGAUUAGAUACCCUGGUAGCCCACACCGUAAACGAUGAUUACUAGGUGUGGGAGGAAUUGACCCCUUCAGUGCCGCAGUUAACACAAUAAGUAAUCCACCUGGGGGAGUACGACCGCAAGGUUGAAACUCAAAGGAAUUGACGGGGGCCCGCACAAGCAGUGGAGUAUGUGGUUUAAUUCGACGCAACGCGAAGAACCUUACCAAGUCUUGACAUCCUGCGACGAUGCUGGAAACAGUAUUUUCCUUCGGGACGCAGAGACAGGUGGUGCAUGGUUGUCGUCAGCUCGUGUCGUGAGAUGUUGGGUUAAGUCCCGCAACGAGCGCAACCCUUACUGUCAGUUACUACGCAAGAGGACUCUGGCAGGACUGCCGUUGACAAAACGGAGGAAGGUGGGGAUGACGUCAAAUCAUCAUGCCCUUUAUGACUUGGGCUACACACGUACUACAAUGGCGUUAAACAAAGAGAAGCAAGACCGCGAGGUGGAGCAAAACUCAGAAACAACGUCCCAGUUUGGACUGCAGGCUGCAACUCGCCUGCACGAAGUCGGAAUUGCUAGUAAUCGUGGAUCAGCAUGCCACGGUGAAUACGUUCCCGGGCCUUGCACACACCGCCCGUCA
rnacentral:rRNA from 1 species